UUUCUUAAGUCUUCAAGAAGCUAUCAAAACUCUUCCAAGAAACUCCUCUUUGCCGAUUACAUCAACCCAUCACCAUCUCCAUCAAAAUUCUCACCAAAACUUAGGAUUCUUGGAGGCAAAUCAUGGAUUGAUUAAAGACUCGACGAGGCGAUUAUCAAAGGGACGCGGAAUGUAAAGAACGCGACAUCGCUUUGCUAGGACCGAAGUCUUUGGAUAUCAAUUUUGUUAUGUUUCAGGUGUAUAGUAUCGGAUGUAACGGACUUCUAUCCUUGUUCCAGAAGUCCGCGAGUACAGAAAGAAGGAAUAAAUCAAUAGUGCUGCAGUAGUCGAGUCCUAGAGUGUAAUUAUGUUUUAUCAAACGGUUUUAAAUAUCUUGUUUAUACUCUGAUAUGUAUAAAGGUUUUAGACUGCGCUUUUAA